GACGAACGCUGGCGGCGUGCCUAAUACAUGCAAGUAGAACGCUGAAGAGAGGAGCUUGCUCUUCUUGGAUGAGUUGCGAACGGGUGAGUAACGCGUAGGUAACCUGCCUUGUAGCGGGGGAUAACUAUUGGAAACGAUAGCUAAUACCGCAUAACAAUGGAUGACACAUGUCAUUUAUUUGAAAGGGGCAAUUGCUCCACUACAAGAUGGACCUGCGUUGUAUUAGCUAGUAGGUGAGGUAAUGGCUCACCUAGGCGACGAUACAUAGCCGACCUGAGAGGGUGAUCGGCCACACUGGGACUGGGACACGGCCCAGACUCCCACGGGAGGCAGCAGUAGGGAUUCUUCGGCAAUGGGGGCAACCCUGACCGAGCAACGCCGCGUGAGGGAAGAAGGUUUUCGGAUCGUAAAGCUCUGUUGUAAGUCAAGAACGGGUGUGAGAGUGGAAAGUUCACACUGUGACGGUAGCUUACCAGAAAGGGACGGCUAACUACGUG
rnacentral:rRNA from 1 species